GAGUUUGAUCCUGGCUCAGGAUGAACGCUGGCGGCGUGCUUAACACAUGCAAGUCGAACGAUGAUCCCAGCUUGCUGGGGGAUUAGUGGCGAACGGGUGAGUAACACGUGAGUAACCUGCCCUUGACUCUGGGAUAAGCCUGGGAAACCGGGUCUAAUACUGGAUAUGACCUUCUGGCGCAUGCCAUGUUGGUGGAAAGCUUUAUUGCGGUUUUGGAUGGACUCGCGGCCUAUCAGCUUGUUGGUGGGGUAAUGGCCUACCAAGGCGACGACGGGUAGCCGGCCUGAGAGGGUGGACGGCCACACUGGGACUGAGACACGGCCCAGACUCCUACGGGAGGCAGCAGUGGGGAAUAUUGCACAAUGGGCGCAAGCCUGAUGCAGCGACGCCGCGUGGGGGAUGAAGGCCUUCGGGUUGUAAACCUCUUUCAGUAGGGAAGAAGCGAAAGUGACGGUACCUGCAGAAGAAGCGCCGGCUAACUACGUGCCAGCAGCCGCGGUAAUACGUAGGGCGCAAGCGUUAUCCGGAAUUAUUGGGCGUAAAGAGCUCGUAGGCGGUUUGUCGCGUCUGCCGUGAAAGUCCGGGGCUUAACUCCGGAUCUGCGGUGGGUACGGGCAGACUAGAGUGAUGUAGGGGAGACUGGAAUUCCUGGUGUAACGGUGAAAUGCGCAGAUAUCAGGAGGAACACCGAUGGCGAAGGCAGGUCUCUGGGCAUUAACUGACGCUGAGGAGCGAAAGCAUGGGGAGCGAACAGGAUUAGAUACCCUGGUAGUCCAUGCCGUAAACGUUGGGCACUAGGUGUGGGGGACAUUCCACGUUUUCCGCGCCGUAGCUAACGCAUUAAGUGCCCCGCCUGGGGAGUACGGCCGCAAGGCUAAAACUCAAAGGAAUUGACGGGGGCCCGCACAAGCGGCGGAGCAUGCGGAUUAAUUCGAUGCAACGCGAAGAACCUUACCAAGGCUUGACAUGAACUGGAACAGCGCAGAGAUGUGUUGGCCGCUUGCGGCCGGUUUACAGGUGGUGCAUGGUUGUCGUCAGCUCGUGUCGUGAGAUGUUGGGUUAAGUCCCGCAACGAGCGCAACCCUCGUUCUAUGUUGCCAGCGCGUUAUGGCGGGGACUCAUAGGAGACUGCCGGGGUCAACUCGGAGGAAGGUGGGGACGACGUCAAAUCAUCAUGCCCCUUAUGUCUUGGGCUUCACGCAUGAAU
rnacentral:rRNA from 1 species